rnacentral:rRNA from 1 species
UGAANAACGCAGCGAAUGCGAUACUUGGUGUGAAUUGCAGAAUCCCGUGAACCAUCGAGUUUUGAACGCAAGUUGCGCNCGAAGCCAUUAGGCCGAGGGCACGUCUGCCUGGGCGUCACGCAUCACGUCGCCACCCACCAUCGUUGUGAUGGGCGGCGGAUGUUGGCCUCCCGUGUUGCAAGAUGCGGCCGGCCUAAAAGCGAGUCCUCGGCGAGAGACGUCACGACUAGUGGUGGUUGAAUUCCUCAACUCGAGUCCURUCGUGCCGAUGCCUCUCGCCGUCUUUGGGCUCCCUCGACCCUAUAGCGUGCUCACAAGGGCACACCUCGACCGCGACCCCAGGUCA